GACUUUCUGGGAAAUAUAUUGUUGUCGGAGUGGGUCUCUCGGGAACAUAUAUUUCUUCAGUAGUGAAAUAAAACGUUACUGUCGACACAUCAUUCUUCACUGGACGAGUCUGAUCGAACUGAAGACAACCUUCAUCUAUCAGUUGCUGAAUACCCCUUCUUAAACUAUCACAUCCGUUCUCGGCGUCUUGACAAUUUCUGCACUCUUCCCCACAGCCCGGGAAAAUCUGUCCUUUCAAGAGUCGGUCUUUGACCACCGAUAGCGAAGUCUUC
rnacentral:lncRNA from 1 species